CUGAAGCUUUGUCCAGAAGAAUGGUUAGUCCCGGACCAAUUGGAAACGGCCAAGAAAGUGGAUUUGACUAAAAGCAAGCCAGGCUGGCGGGCGAGCGUGCACCUCGCAGCAACCGCGUCCCGCGGGGCAGCCGGGCAUUAGGUUCCAGCCCUCCGCUGCGAGGCCUGGGCCUCCACGCAGGCUCCGUGGACUGAGGCUGACAGCGUAGCCCUCCUCUGCUGAGACUACCUGAAUGACCUACUUUGAAAAUGGUGUGAACUCGGCUGAGUGCCAAGGGAUUGAGAGGCAAACAGGCCUGCCCAGAGGGCUUGCAGCAGAAGACAGCAGGCUUCCUCUCGGGGGGACCCUCCAGAAGCCACUGCUGAAGUUGUAACAAACAGGAACUCCAAAUUCAGCCAGGCACUGCUCUUUCCAGGGCAAAGCCGGGAGGAACGCGAGGACUCAGAGCUGAAUCACAGAGCAGGGACCUCCUGAGGCCUCCAUCCUGGCCCCUAUGUGGAGCACUGGCAAAGCUUCCCUUCCAGCCAGAACUGCCUGCUUAAAAAGCAUUCAUGUAUGGAUGUGAGAGUUGGACCAUAAAGGAAACUGAGC